GAUGGCUCCCACAUUUUUACUGUCAUAAAUAGGCUUCAGUGGACACAUUAGGCAUAGAAGUUGUUCUAUUUCUUCAUCUGUAAAAUGGGGAUUGUAAUAUUUACUUUCCAGGGUCAUAGGGAUAAGAGAGCUAAAGGAUGUAAAGUCCGGAACUAGUGCUGUCUUUUAGAUCAUGGUAACAUCAGUUUGCAAAAGAAACGAAUACCAGCUUGUGUGGUUUCCAUGAUGGGAAACCAUCCAGUCCCUGCUGGUGUGACGGUAGGAAUGGGCUUGUCCAUCGUUCCCGGGAACUCAGACAGGUGGACCUGACCUUUUAUUCCUUGGGGGUUUCUCGUAGUCUUGGGACAUCAGCCCAGUGCCUUGGAACCUUAACUCAUCUGACUCUUAGAAAAAUGCCCAUGGCAAGAUCAUCAUUCUGUAUGACGAUGAUGAAAGGCUGGCCAGUCAGGCGGCCACCACCAUGUGCGAGCGUGGAUUUGAAAACCUCUUCAUGCUUUCCGGAGGUGAGCAAGGUGAUACUCUGCUUGGGACUUCAAAGGCUGAUCAUCCUUCAGUCCCACCUGCAUCCCCUUUUCUCUCUUGGUGCUCAGAAUUCAGUGUUCUGGAAAGAGAAAAAGCCAUGCUGGCUGAAAGGAGUCAGGAGUUAUGUGAAACUUCCCUUAGCUUCAUCAGCACAUGUUUUUAAUUCCUGAUGUUGCUUCAGGGCUCUGUCACAAAGCCCUAAUGCUGAAGACUCGAGCAAAAGGAUUUCUUGUGGAAUUCUCAGAAUCCCAUGUAACAACAGAUAUUUUCUGGUAUAAUUUGCUUAAUGAUGAAAUAGUUAAGAAAGAUUUCAUGUCCUUGUGUUGGCCUCAACUUGAUGACCAGAGAUUAGAAGACAUGCAGGCUUCUUUCCAGGUUUUGGCCUGGCCUUGCCAUAUUAAUGCAGCUUUUUCUGAUGAUUUUCCAAACCUAGGUCUAAAAGUCUUAGCUCAGAAAUUCCCGGAAGGACUGAUUACUGGUUCCCUGCCAGCAUCUUGCCAGCAGGCCCUUCCUCCUGGGUCUGCCCGGAAACGAUCCAGCCCCAAAGGGCCACCCCUACCAGCUGAGAAUAAAUGGAGAUUUACCCCAGAAGACUUAAAAAAGAUAGAAUAUUAUCUGGAAGAGGAGCAAGGGCCUGCAGAUCAUCCUAGUAAGAUCUUUUGACCUUUAAAGAUAAUGUUUGGUUUGCAGCUUUGAAUAUCACCUCAUCAUAUGAAAACCUUCAUCUCUUAUAUUUAGAUUCUUAAAAUACUAGGGAGGUAUGUUACAGGUGCUGGGGAGGGGAGGCAGUGGAGGUGACCCCAGAUAGUGGCAAGAAUUACGCAUUGAAGAGAGACUUUAUCAAAACAUAGCGACUUUUUUUUUUUUUGAGACAGAGUCUUGCUCUGUCACCCAGGCUGGAAUGCAAUGGGAUGAUCUUGGCUCACUGCAACCUCCGUCUCCCCGGUUCAAGCGAUUCUCCCACAUCAGCCUCCCGAGUAGGUGGGAUUACAGGUGCCCGCCACCACACCAGGCUAAUUUUUUUGUAUUUUAAGUAGAGACAGGGUUUCACCAUGUUGGCCAGGCUGGUCUCGAACUUCUGGCCACAAGUGAUCCACCCACCUCAGCCUUCCAAAGUGCUAGGAUUACAGGCAUGAGCCACCACGCCCAGGCAAAAAUGUAGAGACUUCAUCAAAAAGUAUAUCUCAGGUAAAAUUGAGGAGUUAAGCAUCAGACCUUCAGAUUCCUUCUUGGAAAGUUUUCGAUUCCUUCUGCAGCUUUUGCUUCUCCACUCUGAGAGCCUCUGUGGUUUGUCUUCCUACCUUAGUUUCACCGUACUGCUUUCUCUUUUCUUUCCCCAAAUCACUCCUCGUCUGCAUCCUCUCUACCAAGGAAGUAGUGGAGGACAGACUAGGUUUGUUGGGGAUGUUGGAGAGGAAGGGAAAAAAAACCUAUCUGGGUUUCCCUUCAUUUCUGUCCCCCUCCCCACCUUCAGGCUGAUCUCAAGGAUGAGGAGUAGGCCAUCGUUGGCCUAAAGUAGAUACUGCAUAGGACUUCAUUAGCUUAAAAGUGGUUGUAGGCUAGGACUUCAUUAGCUUAAAACUGUACUUGGCAGAUUGUCCCUGGAAUCAUUCUUGCAGCUCUGUUCCUUCUUUCUUGCUCCCUUCAGGCCGACUGAACCAAGCUAACUCCUCCGGAAGAGAGUCCAAGGUGCCUGGUGCCCGAAGCGCUCAGAAUCUGCCAGGUGGCGGCCCCGCCAGCCACUCAAACCCCCGCUCCCUCAGCAGUGGUCACCUGCAAGGCAAACCCUGGAAGUAAAGACUUUGUCUCACUUAGGCAAAUAAAUGUUCUUCCUCUUUUCAGAACC
rnacentral:lncRNA from 1 species